rnacentral:rRNA from 1 species
AUUGAACGCUGGCGGCAUGCCUUACACAUGCAAGUCGAACGGCAGCACGGGUGCUUGCACCUGGUGGCGAGUGGCGAACGGGUGAGUAAUACAUCGGAACAUGUCCUGUAGUGGGGGAUAGCCCGGCGAAAGCCGGAUUAAUACCGCAUACGAUCUACGGAUGAAAGCGGGGGACCUUCUGGCCUCGCGCUAUAGGGUUGGCCGAUGGCUGAUUAGCUAGUUGGUGGGGUAAAGGCCUACCAAGGCGACGAUCAGUAGCUGGUCUGAGAGGACGACCAGCCACACUGGGACUGAGACACGGCCCAGACUCCUACGGGAGGCAGGAGUGGGGAAUUUUGGACAAGGGGCGAAAGCCUGAUCCAGCAAUGCCGCGUGUGUGAAGAAGGCCUUCGGGUUGUAAAGCACUUUUGUCCGGAAAGAAAUCCUUGGCCCUAAUACGGUCGGGGGAUGACGGUACCGGAAGAAUAAGCACCGGCUAACUACGU